UGCGCCGCAUUGGUGAGAGAAGUAGCCUACGCGAGGCCAAAGCAAUAAAGGGCCUAAUGACUUCUGACCUCUGGACAUCUGGGUGACGAACUGAGCAGACUGCGAUAAUCAGCAGAGCUGUUCAGCCCCUGACUCUGCUGCUGGGAGCUGGGAAGACUUGACGAGGACGCGAUAAAGAGAUUUUAAAUAUAAAAAAAACCCCUGGCAUUUCUUUAUUCAGAGCUGAAGCUGAAUAAAGAAAGUUGGAAACCACUGUUUGUGUAUUUAGCCUGUCUGC